rnacentral:lncRNA from 1 species
UCUUCUUUGUGCAACCGUAUCUCGGCUUUUGUGGUGUGUCGUCUCAGGCCCGUGGUCCUCCGUGUAUCUCUUUCCUUGCUGGCUGCGUGGAGCUGCGCUUGUUUAGGAGAGUCUUCUGAGGGGCCCGUACCUGAACUUGGCGGCAUUCGCGGCCAUACCCGUCGCUUUGCAGUAGGCUUCGAGUAGCCCCAGAAGGCAUUCUGCUCUAUCGUGCCCUGUCGCUACC